AACGAACGCUGGCGGCAGGCCUAACACAUGCAAGUCGAACGCCCCCUUCGGGGGGAGUGGCGCACGGGUGAGUAACGCGUGGGAAUCUGCCCUUUGGUCUGGAAUAACCCUGGGAAACUAGGGCUAAAACCGGAUAAGCCCCGCGAGGGGGAAAGUUUACGCCGAAGGAGGAGCCCGCGUCCGAUUAGCUAGUUGGUGAGGUAAGAGCUUACCAAGGCGACGAUCGGUAGCUGGUCUGAGAGGACGAUCAGCCACACUGGGACUGAGACACGGCCCAGACUCCUACGGGAGGCAGCAGUGGGGAAUAUUGGACAAUGGGCGCAAGCCUGAUCCAGCCAUGCCGCGUGAGUGAUGAAGGCCUUCGGGUUGUAAAGCUCUUUUGGCGGGGACGAUGAUGACGGUACCCGCAGAAUAAGCCCCGGCAAACUUCGUGCCAGCCGCCGCGGUAA
rnacentral:rRNA from 1 species